rnacentral:rRNA from 1 species
AGUGGGGAAUUUUGGACAAUGGGCGAAAGCCUGAUCCAGCCAUGCCGCGUGAGUGAAGAAGGCCUUCGGGUUGUAAAGCUCUUUUAGUCGGAAAGAAAGAAUUAUGGUUAAUAGCCAUAAUUUAUGACGGUACCGGCAGAAAAAGCACCGGCUAACUACGUGCCAGCAGCCGCGGUAAUACGUAGGGUGCGAGCGUUAAUCGGAAUUACUGGGCGUAAAGGGUGCGCAGGCGGCCUUGCAAGUCAGAUGUGAAAGCCCCGGGCUUAACCUGGGAAUUGCGUUUGAAACUACAAAGCUAGAGUGCAGCAGAGGGGAGUGGAAUUCCAUGUGUAGCAGUGAAAUGCGUAGAGAUGUGGAAGAACACCGAUGGCGAAGGCAGCUCCCUGGGUUGACACUGACGCUCAUGCACGAAAGCGUGGGGAGCAAACAGGAUUAGAUACCCUGGUAGUCCACGCCCUAAACUAUGUCAACUAGUUGUCGGAUCUAAUUAAGGAUUUGGUAACGUAGCUAACGCGUGAA